UUCUAACCGUAAACGAUGACACCCAGCGAUUCGUCGGCGUUAAUAUAUGACCCGACUAGCAGCUUCCGGGAAACCAAAGUUUUUCGUUUCCGGGGGAAGUAUGGUUGCAAAGCUGAAACUUAAAGGAAUUGACGGAAGGGCACCACCAGGAGUGGAGCCUGCGGCUUAAUUUGACUCAACACGGGAAAACUCACCCGGCCCGGACACCGUAAGGAUUGACAGACUGAGAGCUCUUUCUUAAUUCGGUGGGUGGUGGUGCAUGGCCGUUCUUAGUUGGUGGAGCGAUUUGUCUGGUUAAUUCCGAUAACGAACGAGACUCUGGCCUAUUAAAUAGACGGAAUAUCACUUAAGUAUUCCGCGCUUCUUAGAGGGACAAGCGGCGUCUAGCCGCAUGAAAUAGAGCAAUAACAGGUCUGUGAUGCCCUUAGAUGUCCGGGGCUGCACGCGCGCUACACUGAAAGAAUCAGUGUGCUCAUUCGCCUAGUUCGGAAGAACCGGGUAACCCAAGUAAAUUCUUUCGUGCUUGGGAUAGGGAAUUGCAAUUAUUUCCCUUAAACGAGGAAUUCCCAGUAAGUGCGGGUCAUAAGCUCGCGUUG
rnacentral:rRNA from 1 species